rnacentral:rRNA from 1 species
UCGAGUUGAUCCUGCUCGAGGUUACUGCUAUUGGGGUCUGCUUAAGACAUGCAUGUUCAGGACACGGCAAGGUCCUGGCGACUAGCUCAGUAACACGUGGACAAUCUGCCUUAGGGAGGGGCAUAACCUCGGGAAACUGAGGACAAUACCCCAUAGACAACAUGUUCUGGAAUGACUGUUGUCAAAAUGCAAAGACUAUUGCCGUCGGCGCGCCCUAAGAUGAGUCUGCGGCGGAUUAGGUUGACGGCGGGGUAACAGCCCACCGUGCCAGUGAUCUGUAUCGGCCCUGAGAGGGGGAGCCGGGAGAUGGACACUGAGACAAAGGUCCAGGCUCUAAGGAGCGCAGCAGUCGCGAACCCUUCGCAAUGCGCGUAAGCGUGACGAGGGGACCCCAAGUGUGCUAGUAAAACUAGUACUUUUACGGAGUGUAAAAAGCUUCGAGAAUAAGGUCUGGGUAAGACUGGUGCCAGCCUCCGCGGUAACACCAGCAGAUCAAGUGGUAACCACGCUUAUUGGGCUUAAAGCGUCCGUAGUCGGUUAUACAAGUCUUCUGUGAAAUCCUGCGGCUUAACCGUAGGGCUCGCAAGAGAUACUAUAUGACUAGAGGCCGGGAGAGGUGUAGGGUAUUCUGGGGGUAGCGGUGAAAUGCUAUAAUCCCCGGAGGACCACCAGUAGCGAAGGCGCUACACUGGAACGGGCCUGACGAUGAGGGACGAGAGCUAGGGGAGCGAACCGGAUUAGAUACCCGGGUAGUCCUAGCUGUAAACGACGCGGACUGAGUGUUUCCUGAACCUCGAGUUCAGGAAGUGCUGAAGGGAAACCGUUAAGUCCGCCGCCUGGGGAGUACGGUCGCAAGGCUGAAACUUAAAGGAAUUGGCGGGGGAGCACCACAAGGGGUGGAUGCUGCGGUUCAAUUGGAUACAACCCCGGACAACUUACCAGGUGCGACGGCAGAAUGAAAGCCAGGCUGAAGGUCUUGCUGGACGAGCCGAGAGGUAGUGCAUGGCCGUCGUCAGCUCGUACCGUGAGGCGUACGGUUAAGUCCGUUAACGAGCGAGACCCGUGUCCUUAUUUGCUAAUCUCAGGGAGACCUGGGGGUGCACUAUAAGGGGACCGCUGGUGAUGAAUCAGAGGAAGGCGCGGGCGACGGUAGGUCUGUAUGCUCCGAGUCUCCUGGGCUACACGCGGCAUACAAUGGCAUAGACAACGGGUUGCGACACCGAAAGGUGAAGCUAAUCCCUAAACUAUGUCCCAGUUCAGAUCGAGGGUUGCAACCCACCCUCGUGAAGGUGAAAUCCCUAGUAAUCGCUUUUUACCAUAAAGCGGUGAAUAUGUCCCUGCUCCUUGCACACACCGCCCGUCACACCAACUGAGUGGAUUGAAGGUGAAGCACUCUCAUAAGGGAAUGUUGAAUCUCUGGUCCGCGAGGGGGGUGAAGUCGUAACAAGGUA